AAUCCUUUCCAGCGAUAAUAAGUGAUGAGCAGCUUGAAAGGGAAAUUGUCAUUUACAAGUCGAAGGAAAAGGAAAGUGGAAGAAAGAGGUGGCAUGGUGCAGAAAAAGGAGUUUGUCUUCUUUUUCUUCUAAAAUAGAGGCUUUGGAGGGACUCUGAUUUGCACUAAUUCAUUUAUGUUGAUAUUUGAGAUUUUAUGCUGUAAUUUCAGGUUGAGAGAUGUGUGAUUUCUUUGAAUGGGUGGACAUGGAAUGUUGUGUGAGGUGCAUGGCUAAUUGAUGGAUUAUGAGAAGAAGGAUUGAUGAAUGAGCAUCAAAUACUGAUAAAUUGUGAAGCAAAUGAAGGAUUGGAAAACAAAAGAGGGUUAAUUGGUCAUGUUUAUGACUGUUGUUUUCAUUCAUGGGUGUUAAAAAUUUUGAAAAAAUUACUGAUUUAGGUUUUUUUUGAUCAUAUAUGUUUUAAAAUAUUAUUAACUUGUUUAUUUUUAUUUAAUUAAGUUUAUGUAUUUACUUAAUUAAUUUGGUGAAGAAAAAAGGAGCAAUUAUCAAGACA